rnacentral:rRNA from 1 species
GACAGAGGGUGCAAACGUUGCUCGGAAUUACUGGGCGUAAAGCGCGUGUAGGCGGUCACGCAAGUCAGGUGUGAAAGCCCAGGGCUCAACCCUGGAAGUGCACAUGAUACUACGUGGCUGGAGUACUGAAGAGGAGAGCGGAAUUCCCGGUGUAGAGGUGAAAUUCGUAGAUAUCGGGAGGAACACCAGUGGCGAAGGCGGCCGACUGGGCCGAUCCUGACGCUGAGACCCGAAAGCUAGGGUAGCGAACCGG